rnacentral:rRNA from 1 species
UACGGGGGGGGGCAAGCGUUGUUCGGAAUUACUGGGCGUAAAGGGCGCGUAGGCGGCCUGCUAAGUCGGACGUGAAAUCCCUCGGCUCAACCGGGGAACUGCGUCUGAUACUGGAUGGCUUGAGUUUGGGAGAGGGAUGCGGAAUUCCAGGUGUAGCGGUGAAAUGCGUAGAUAUCUGGAGGAACACCGGUGGCGAAGGCGGCAUCCUGGACCAACACUGACGCUGAGGAGCGAAAGCCAGGGGAGCAAACGGG